GACGAACGCUGGCGGCGUGCUUAACACAUGCAAGUCGAGCGGAAAGGCUCCUUCGGGGGUACUCGAGCGGCGAACGGGUGAGUAACACGUGAGUAAUCUGCCCUUGGCUUCGGGAUAACUACCGGAAACGGUGGCUAAUACCGGAUAUGACCACUCCUUGCAUGAGGUGGUGGUGGAAAGUUUUUUCGGCCAGGGAUGUGCUCGCGGCCUAUCAGCUUGUUGGUGGGGUAAUGGCCUACCAAGGCUUCGACGGGUAGCCGGCCUGAGAGGGUGACCGGCCACACUGGGACUGAGACACGGCCCAGACUCCUACGUGAGGCAGCAAUGGGGAAUAUUGGACAAUGGGCGGAAGCCUGAUCCAGCAACGCCGCGUGAGGGAUGACGGCCUCGGUUGUAACCGUCUUUCUAGUACCGACGAAGACGCCGACUGAUGGUGGUGACGGUAGGUACAGAAGAAGACACCGGCCGAACUAACGUGCCAGCAGCCGCGGUAA
rnacentral:rRNA from 1 species